GACCAAGGAGUCUAACCCGUAUGCGAGUCGUAGGGUCUUGUGUAGGCCCCGUGGCGAAGCGAAAGCAAAGUCGAGACAUUGGAUAACUUUAUUCCUUUAGCAUCGGCGACCCGGCGGUGCGGCCGGCUGGCACGGCUGCGUUUGCGUCAAAACUCACGUCUGUCGUGCCCGGCUCGUCGGAGUCUGAGCAUACGAGUUGGUACCCGAAAGAUGGUGAACUAUGCCCCGCCAGGGCGAAGUCGGAGGAAACUCCGGUGGAGGCCCGAAGCGGUUCUGACGUGCAAAUCGAUCGUCGGAGCGAGGUAUAGGGGCGAAAGACUAAUCGAACCAUCUAGUAGCUGGUUCCCUCCGAAGUUUCCCUCAGGAUAGCUGGCAUUCGUGAAACUCAGUCUCUCCUCGUAGAGAGAAUGAAUAGAGGCCCUGGGGCCCUAGACGACCUCAACCUAUUAUCAAACUGCUACGAGGUGCGUCUGUAGGAAAAGAAUUGUGGGAAAAGAGGAAUUCGUUCCUUCUUUUUUUAUUUUUUUUCGGACUUGCUGACUUGAAGUCCUUUCCUACGCUAUGGGAUGUGUGAGUGCCGUGUGGGCCACUUUUG
rnacentral:rRNA from 1 species